rnacentral:rRNA from 1 species
GUGAGGAAUAUUGGACAAUGGGCGCAAGCCUGAUCCAGCCAUGCCGCGUGCAGGAAGACGCAUCUAUGGUGUGUAAACUGCUUUUGUACGGGAAGAAACACUCCCUCGUGAGGGAGCUUGACGGUACCGUAAGAAUAAGGAUCGGCUAACUCCGUGCCAGCAGCCGCGGUAAUACGGAGGAUCCAAGCGUUAUCCGGAAUCAUUGGGUUUAAAGGGUCCGUAGGCGGUUUAAUAAGUCAGUGGUGAAAGCCCAUCGCUCAACGAUGGAACGGCCAUUGAUACUGUUAGACUUGAAUUACAAGGAAGUAACUAGAAUAUGUAGUGUAGCGGUGAAAGGCUUAGAUAUUAGGAGGAACACCAGUGGCGAAGGCGGCUUACUGGACUGUAACUGACGUUGAGGCUCGAAAGAGUGGGGAGCAAACAGGAUUAGAAACCCGGGUAGUCC